rnacentral:lncRNA from 1 species
CACUUUUUUCACCCAUCCGUCGGAAUCAGACGCCCCACCCACCUUACCAGUGACGUAUUCUAUUGGCUUUAUUUUUGGACCAAUUGCUUUGUGUUCCUUUUUUUUUUAACCCUUCCCUGAUUUUGCAAAUUAACCUCUACAGCACUGCCCAUUUCGACACUGACGAACAAAACAAAAUUACCCAUUCAUAAGAUCUUUCUUUUUUUAAAAAACAAUUUCUCUUUUGAAAACAAAAUUAAUAAAAAUAAUAAACCAACCAUUGGUAGUGCUGUUUCAUUCAAUAUGGGUAUCCUAGAGACCUCCGGUUUAUCCAGGGGUCAGGGCAUUGUCCUAUUCUUAUGAUGUCCGGACUAGCUUUUUUUUAUUAUGGUUGCUGCUGUGUAAAAGGGGUCAAGUUGCUCGUGCUACUGACUCGGACUAAAAAUUUCCUUUUUACCAACAAAAUCAACCCUCAAUAUAUCCCAUUUUCUCUCUUUCUCCUUCUUUCUUUCUUGUUUUCUUCGCCUUCUCUCUCUUCUUUUGCCAUCACCACCAGUUGUUGAGGCACGGCUGACAGUACCCAACUCCUCAAAUUCAUCACCUUCCUCUCAAGACCUUCUCUCUAAAACUCCAAACCUCAAUCCCAAUCCAAUUUCUCAACGCUGAUAAGAAAGAAGAAGCCGAGAGAAUCCCUUUGAGCUCACCAUCGUAGAUGUGGGUUCUGCUACUGUCAUUUUGUUUCUGAGCAUGUAAAUGUUACAAUACAAAACCUGUACCAUCCAGAUAGGUAUAAAAACAUGAUCAUCGCAAAAAACAUGGUUGGCAAAGUGGGGAUAACUCAGCCAGACAAUUUGUCUACCUACUAACGUAGGAUCAUGAAACUUGCCUAAUUAAGCCCCCAUCUCAUUCUCCACUCUCUUAAAUUUCUCAAAAAUAUAUAUAAAAUGAUCUCUUCUGUUGCUUUGGAUGCUG